ACGAAACUGGGUACAACCUACCCUUUUUCUUGCUAUAUUUUUCUUGGAUACCUCUUGUUUCCUCAGCAGGUCCGCCUGCUGAGGACCCCUCCAAAACCUCUGUAAAAUGCAGCAAUCGUCUGAUAACAAAACAAAACAAUCAAAACUUUCAACAAUGGAUCUCUUGGCUCUGGCAUCGAUGAAGAACGCAGCAAAAUGCGAUAAGUAGUGUGAAUUGCAGAAUUCCGUGAAUCAUCGAAUCUUUGAACGCACAUUGCGCCCUAUGGUAUUCCGUAGGGCAUGCCUGUUCGAGCGUCAUUUACACCCUCAAGCGUAGCUUGGUGUUGGGCGUCUGUCCUGCCGCAAGGCGCGGACUCGCCUCAAAUCAAUUGGCGGCCCUCCCGGCAGCUCGUAGCGCAGCAGAAUUGCGAGGCGCGCGGCUGGCGAGGUGCUAACCAGCAAGACAUACAUACCAGUUUGACCUCGGAUCAGGUAGGGAUACCCGCUGAACUUAAGCAUAUCAAUAAGCGGAGGAAAAGAAACCAACAGGGAUUGCCCUAGUAACGGCGAGUGAAGCGGCAACAGCUCAAAUUUGAAAUCUGGCCUCUUUGGGGGUCCGAGUUGUAAUUUGAAGAGGGUGCUUUGGUGUUGGCUUCGGUCUAAGUCCCUUGGAACAGGGCGUCACAGAGGGUGAGAAUCCCGUAUGUGGCCGACUGCCUUCGCCGUGUAAAGCCCCUUCGACGAGUCGAGUUGUUUGGGAAUGCAGCUCUAAAUGGGAGGUAAAUUUCUUCUAAAGCUAAAUACUGGCCAGAGACCGAUAGCGCACAAGUAGAGUGAUCGAAAGAUGAAAAGCACUUUGGAAAGAGAGUCAAAAAGCACGUGAAAUUGUUGAAAGGGAAGCGCUUGCAGCCAGACUUGCCUGCAGUUUUCUGUAGGCAGGCCAGCAUCAGUUCGGGCGGUUGGACAAAGACCUGUUGAAUGUGCCUCCCUCCGGGGAGAACUUAUAGGGUAGGUGUCAUGCAACCAGCCUGGACUGAGGUCCGCG
rnacentral:rRNA from 1 species